GGAGCACAUGGGCGGAGAAAAAGUUUUUUUUUUGGGGGGGAAAAGGUAGUACACUGCCCACUUCAUUCAUUAAAAUUAUGAAUUUAGCAACAUCGGUAAGGUAGCAAAUUAAAACCUCAACAAAAGGAAAAGAAAAGGGUUAAGAAAGAUGAUUUUUAGACGAGAAAAUAGUCUCCCACAGGAUCACCAUCUUCCUGAUCUUGGCUACCGUUCUUCUGGGGUCUACGAAAAUGUUUCUAAAGAUAGCGUUGUUCCUUAAAUCCCAGAUGACCCACUAGUAAGCUGCCAGACUAAUCAUUCUAGUUCGGAUAAGCUGUGAUUUGUUCCUAAUCACCCGCCUGUCCCACAAGCAUCUCACAUCAUCUCCCAAAUCCCUAAGUUGAACCCCCUCUAGUGUCAUCACAAUUAGAAAUUUACUAAUAAUAUAUUGUGUGAAUAGGUGAUCCAAUGUUUCCUUUUCGACUCCACAAAGCACACAAUUUGUGCUUUCAGUCCAUCCUCUUUUCAAAAGAUUAUCCAUUGUAGGUGUUUUCUUUUUGAGGACUAGCUAAGUAAAUACUCUCACUUUU
rnacentral:lncRNA from 1 species